UACGAAGGGGGCUAGCGUUGCUCGGAUUGACUGGGCGUAAAGGGCGCGUAGGCGGUUCGUACAGUCAGACGUGAAAUUCCUGGGCUCAACCUGGGGGCUGCGUUUGAUACGUGCGGACUUGAGUGCGGAAGAGGGUCGUGGAAUUCCCAGUGUAGAGGUGAAAUUCGUAGAUAUCGGGAGGAACACCAGUGGCGAAGGCGGCGACCUGGACGGACACUGACGCUGAGACGCGAAAGCGUGGGGAGCAAACAGG
rnacentral:rRNA from 1 species